GUGAGGCUGACCUGGGGAGGUGCUCCGAGCCAAGAAAGAAGGAUAAGAAAGAAGGCCUGGAAAAGAGCAGCAGCUAAGGGCCGCUCUUCCUCACUCCCACUUGCCACCAGGAAGCUGGGGGGAGCCAACGUACGCCAUUGGGACCUCUCAAAGUACCCGGCUAAUAUGGGACCAUCUCUUAAGAGGCAAGAGCUCUGGCUCUGAUUAAGAAUUCUUAUUUUGGAGAAAGAAGAAACUUCUGGAUUUAAGACAUUGGAAGAGAAUGUAAAGACCUUUGCACUGAGGAAUAGUGUAUGUCUGGACCCGCACGAGCUGGACGCAACCUACAGUUGACGAGUCACCAUCAUCACAGACCUUGUCCUUCCUUCUUGUGGAAAACAUUUCCUCUUCUGCUGCCUGCCCUUAAGACUCCCCCCCCCCCCCCCGCCCAAUGCCCGGGAACCAAAGGGCUUUCUACCACACCCUUUCUUGCCCCCCAGUUCCCCCGUCUGCUGUGCCUUUGGACUCGGCAAUUCUUGUUUGCUCCAUUAUCUUCCAGCCGGAUACAGAGUGAAUUGUUAACCACACUUAGGUCAAAUGGGAUUUUAAUUUUUGUUCCUGUUCCUUCUAAAGAGGCCAGUGUUUGUGUUGCUAUGUGAGCAGCAUUGGAAUAGAAUGUCCUCUCGCUUCUUUGGGAUCUGGCCCCUCAGGUUCCAGAGUGAUACGGACGCACCACCAGCUGUGAAGACCCCUUCUCUCAGAUGGCAGAUGGGGCCCCUGCCAGAGCAUGGGGCUUUGUCACAGACCAUCUUGCUACCAGAGCCGGUGUGUUUAUUGAAGGCCCUCUGCCCCUCGGAUGCUGGUGUCACUCCUGACGGCAGACCGGGCCCCUCGAAACACGAGUCCUGUUUGUUUCGUCCCUCCAGAGCCACCGUGUGCGUGGCUGAAAACACUUCUAGAGUCGACCUUGUCUCAAUUGCAGAGCCGAAGAUGUCUGUUCGUUCUACUUCUAAAGCGAACGAUGGCUUGCCUUUGUAGGAGGAAUUAAAGCCAUACACAUAUAUCUUCUCUUUGUUUGUGGGUGAAGUGUUUCUGUGACCAUAGAAUGACCUCAGUGUCUGCUCAGGGGAGCAACGGGGUCCUUCUUGGCCUCAGAUUCCCCACAAAAUAAGCGAGGAGAACCUCUUGAGGUCAUUUCCUGCUGUUGAAAUGUAAGGCUCGUUCGUGGGCUUUGGUCUUCCUUCCUUGACAUGCACACAGACUCGUCGUACUGGUUAGAGUCUUUCAGGUUUCAAGGAACAGAGACCCCUUAGAUCACCUGCAUUAACGUGGGUUUAUUCCAAGUUGCUCUGGAAGUAAGGUAGACAGGAACAGUCUGCCCAGCAGCUGCCCAGCGAGGCCUUUCUAGAAGCCCAAAGUCAUUCAAGACAUCCAUUCGCUAGACAGUUUCCAGAAACAGCAAGAACUCUGACGCUGUGGUCAUUUUGAUCAUCUGCUCAGCAGCACGACUCACUGCUCCUGAUUCUGGAAUUCUCCUGUGAUGAUGAGCUGAGGGUGCUGGCUGUCCCAGAACACACAACUUUCCGUGAUAAACCUGGGACAGUCCUGGGCAAACCGGAACAAUUGGCCACGCUCCUAGGUUACAGAGUUACCUGCCAUAGUUUGCUGAUGCUCUUGAUUAGCCCAACCAGCUGCCAUUCAGAACCCUUGUGUCUGACCACAUUGUUCACCACUGGGCAGGCUGUAGAUGGAGGCCAUUGGAUCAAGCACCCAGUCCUGACCACUUCAGGUGUUUCCCGGGUGGUAGGGUUACAUGAUACUGAAUAAAAACCUGGAUGUAACAAACCAGCUGAGACCACUUCCUUCAGAAGAAGUGCUGUGGAUAGUGGACCUGGGAGCCAUUCAAGGUAUCAGGGAUUCCUCUCCAAUCCAGUCCUACUUAAAAAAGGCGAUGCUAAUAACCUUUCUUGUUAAGAACAGAACAGUUCCU